CUUAAUGUGGCAGAUUAGUGCGAUGAAUUUAAGCUUCAUUUAUAAAGAUUUAUCUUUCAUUAAGA
rnacentral:tRNA from 1 species